rnacentral:lncRNA from 1 species
CAGCCCAGGAGCCAGUACUCAGCUCGGGCACAGAAUGGCCUGUCUGUUAAUCCUGGACAGCUUGGUGCAGAGAAGAGUUUCUUCAGGCUCAAGGUUUUUUCUUUGUAGAGACAGGUAAUGACUGGGCAAGAGAAGCUGGCCUGCUAGCUGAAGGCCAUGUGACAGUCCUUGGAACUGCUGUCACUGUUGUGUCUACACAGCCUAUGAGGAUUGAAUACUGAAAUAAAUAAAAGCAAUUUGUGGUGCCUACAACCUCAUACCUGCUGGUCUGCAAGUGGAACCUCACAAUGAGAUGGUUCCCAGUGCAGCAAAACUCACUGACCAUCACUGUGUUGGACACUUCUCUGGAUUCCUCUGGAACAGUGAAGUGAGCACAGUGCCGUGUGAAAGACUGAGUCCCUCAGCUGAGCACGCAGCUGUUAGGGCUCUGUCAUUGCCUGCAUCUCUCUCUGUUUCUGGAUCCUACAUAAAUCAAUGCAGCAGCUGCAACAGUAAGAUUUCCUGUGCUUCUCUGCAGGAGGGCUGUGGAAGUGGAGCAGAACAGGACCAGCUCUGGCAUUUUGGCUGCUGCAGGGAUCUUUGAGCCAAAGAGAUGGGGCAAUACCAAAGAGCCCUGGUUUGUCACAGUAGGAGUG